rnacentral:rRNA from 1 species
CCUACGGGCGGCUGCAGUGAGGAAUAUUGGUCAAUGGACGAGAGUCUGAACCAGCCCAGUAGCGUGAAGGAUGACUGCCCUAUGGGUUGUAAACUUCUUUUAUAUGGGAAUAAAACGUUCCACGUGUGGGAUUUUGUAUGUACCAUAUGAAUAAGGAUCGGCUAACUCCGUGCCAGCAGCCGCGGUAAUACGGAGGAUCCGAGCGUUAUCCGGAUUUAUUGGGUUUAAAGGGAGCGUAGAUGGUUUGUUAAGUCAGUUGUGAAAGUUUGCGGCUCAACCGUAAAAUUGCAGUUGAAACUGGCAGUCUUGAGUACAGUAGAGGUGGGCGGAAUUCGUGGUGUAGCGGUGAAAUGCUUAGAUAUCACGAAGAACUCCGAUUGCGAAGGCAGUUCACUGGACUGCAACUGACACUGAGGCUCGAAAGUGUGGGUAUCAAACAGGAUUAGAUACCCGUGUAGUC